CCUACGGGAGGCAGCAGUGGGGAAUAUUGGGCAAUGGGCGCAAGCCUGACCCAGCAACGCCGCGUGAAGGAAGAAGGCUUUCGGGUUGUAAACUUCUUUUAAGAGGGAAGAGCAGAAGACGGUACCUCUUGAAUAAGCCACGGCUAACUACGUGCCAGCAGCCGCGGUUAUACGUAGGUGGCAAGCGUUGUCCGGAUUUACUGGGUGUAAAGGGCGUGUAUCCGGGCUGACAAGUCAGAUGUGAAAUUCCGGGGCUCAACCCCGGACCUGCAUUUGAAACUGUUGGUCUUGAGUAUCGGAGAGGCAGGCGGAAUUCCUAGUGUAGCGGUGAAAUGCGUAGAUAUUAGGAGGAACAACAGUGGCGAAGGCGGCCUUCUGGAAGACAAAUGACGGUGAGGCGGGAAAGCGUGGGGAGCAAACAGGAUUAGAUACCCGGGUAGUC
rnacentral:rRNA from 1 species